CAGCAGCCGCGGGAAUACGAAGGGUGCAAGCGUUACUCGGAAUUACUGGGCGUAAAGCGUGCGUAUGUGGUGGUUUAAGUCCGUUGUGAAAGCCCUGGGCUCAACCUGGGAAUUGCAGUGGAUACUGGGUCACUAGAGUGUGGUAGAGGAUAGUGGAAUUUCCGGUGUAGCAGUGAAAUGCGUAGAGAUCGGAAGGAACAUCUGUGGCGAAGGCGACUAUCUGGGCCAACACUGACACUGAGGCACGAAAGCGUGGGGAGCAAACAGGAUUAGAUACCCGAGUAGUCCCUGUCUCUUAUAC
rnacentral:rRNA from 1 species